AGCAUUCAAUACACAGAGAUUUAAGCAAUAGUUAUCAAGUUUGAGAAAACCUUACCGAGAGCAAAAACCCAGCUCUGCAGGGAGAGAGCUUUACCGGGAGAGAGCAUACCAGGGGAACCCCCCCUCUCUCUCUCGUUUGCUCCCUCUCCGCCAGUGUGGGGGGCUCAGUCUUU